AACAAUAUCGCGGNAGAGGAUACACCUGUUCCCAUUCCGAACACAGAAGUUAAGCUCUCUAGCGCUGAUGGUACUUGGUGGGAAACUGCCUGGGAGAGUAGGACGUAGCCACGUG
rnacentral:rRNA from 1 species